rnacentral:rRNA from 1 species
CGAUUCUGGCUCAGGAUGAACGCUGGCGGCGUGCCUAACACAUGCAAGUCGAACGGGGUGUCUGAUCUUCGGACUGGACACUUAGUGGCGGACGGGUGAGUAACGCGUGGGUAACCUGCCUCAUACAGGGGGAUAGCAGUUGGAAACGACUGAUAAUACCGCAUAAGCGCACAGUACCGCAUGGUACAGUGUGAAAAAACUCCGGUGGUAUGAGAUGGACCCGCGUCUGAUUAGCUUGUUGGCGGGGUAACGGCCCACCAAGGCGACGAUCAGUAGCCGGCCUGAGAGGGUGAACGGCCACAUUGGGACUGAGACACGGCCCAAACUCCUACGGGAGGCAGCAGUGGGGAAUAUUGCACAAUGGGGGAAACCCUGAUGCAAGCGACGCCGCGUGAAGGAUGAAGUAUUUCGGUAUGUAAACUUCUAUCAGCAGGGAAGAUGAUGACGGUACCUGACUAAGAAGCCCCGGCUAACUACGUGCCAGCAGCUGC